UACGAAGGGGGCUAGCGUUGUUCGGAAUUACUGGGCGUAAAGCGCACGUAGGCGGGUUCUUAAGUCAGGGGUGAAAUCCCGAGGCUCAACCUCGGAACUGCCUUUGAUACUGGGAAUCUUGAGUUCGGGAGAGGUGAGUGGAAUUGCGAGUGUAGAGGUGAAAUUCGUAGAUAUUCGCAGGAACACCAGUGGCGAAGGCGGCUCACUGGUCCGAUACUGACGCUGAGGUGCGAAAGCGUGGGGAGCAAACAGG
rnacentral:rRNA from 1 species